UACGGAGGGUGCAAGCGUUGUUCGGAAUCACUGGGCGUAAAGCGCGUGUAGGCGGUUUUUUAAGUCUGGUGUGAAAGCCCGGGGCUCACCCCCGGAAGCGCACUGGAGACUGGGAGACUGGAGUACCGGAGAGGAAGGUGGAAUUCCUGGUGUAGCGGUGAAAUGCGUAGAUAUCAGGAGGAACACCGGUGGCGAAGGCGGCCUUCUGGACGGAUACUGACGCUGAGACGCGAAAGCGUGGGGAGCAAACAGG
rnacentral:rRNA from 1 species